AUGGCGAGGUGUGGUCUGGGCCAGGAUCCCGAAAGCGCCGCUGCGGUCGCUGUGCUAAAGCGGGCGGUGGAACUAGAUUCGGAGUCGCGGUACCCGCAGGCUCUGGUGUGUUACCAGGAGGGGAUUGACCUGCUCCUGCAGGUUCUGAAAGGUACCAAAGAUGAUACAAAGAAGUGUCAUCUCAGAAAAAAAAUUUCUGGCUACAUGGAUAGAGCAGAAAACAUAAAAAAAUACUUGGAUCAAGAAAAAGAAGAUGGAAAAUACCACAAGCAAAUUAAAAUAGAAGAGAAUGCGACAGGUUUCAGUUAUGAGUCACUUUUUCAAGAAUACCUUAAUGAAACAGUUACAGAAGUUUGGAUAGAAGAUCCUUAUAUUAGACAUACUCAUCAGCUGUAUAACUUUCUUCGAUUUUGUGAGAUGCUUAUUAAGAAACCAUGUAAAGUAAAAACUAUUCAUCUUCUCACCUCUCUGGAUGAAGGCAGUAGGAGAGAACAGCAAAGUAGUGGCCUGAGAGAGAUAAAAGAGUCACUCAGGAAGCAUGGAGUGCUGUUGGAAUUAGAAUACUCUUCUUCAAUACAUGACCGAGAAAUUAGGUUCAACAAUGGAUGGAUGAUUAAGAUUGGAAGGGGACUUGAUUAUUUUAAGAAAGCACAGGGUCGUUUUUCCCUUGGAUAUUGCGAUUUUGAUUUAAGACCAUGUCAUGAAACAACAGUGGACAUUUUUCAUAACAAGCACACAAAAAAAAUAUGAUGGGUUCAGGUGCUGAUAAUGCUGAACCUGAAAAUACUCAAACCAGUUUGCCAAGCUUUAUUAUAUGGAAAUUCAGGGUCUCAAGAGAGCACUUCGACAAGUGUUGGACCUGAUCAAAAGUUACUCUCUGCAAAGUAUCCUAGCUCAUUUUGCCAGGUACCCAUCGUCAUGUGGAAGUAGAGUGGCUUUUCAUUCAGAUAUGCGCACAGAGGAAAGACUUUGUGAGGGCACAGCAAGGUGGCAGCCAUCUGCAAGAAGAGGCCUCAGAAGAAACCAAACCUGCUGUCCUCUUGAUCUUAGACUUCCAGCCUCCAGAACUGGCCUUCCUGUAUGCUGUUCUUUGUGGCAGAUUGUUCCGAAAAUGGCUGCAGUAAGAUCUCCCAUCCCAGCGGCUCUUUUUAUAAUGACUUUGACAUUCCUGCUACAGAG